AACUCGACGGACUGCGACUGCAGCCGUUUCAUUGCCAGCUGUAAGGAUGAAGCAGCUUCAUAGCCGGACAU
rnacentral:lncRNA from 1 species